rnacentral:lncRNA from 1 species
CAUCUGUGUCCCUGAGACCCUGAGAAGAGCUGUACAUAGAGCUUGCUUACUACCACUGGUUCUUCCUCUUGGGCUUUCAGCCCAGACUCCAAGCAGCUGCUAUCAACCCUCUCUCCCUUCAUCUCUUAGCCUUGCUUAUUUUUAUUUUGGGACCGAGCUGCCCACUAGAUGACUCUGCUUUUCCCUGCAUUUGGGGCUAAGGUGCCAGGUACUUAUUUGCACAGGGAGCAGGAGCAGCAAAAAAUCUCUGGUUCUCCAGAGCACUCGUCCUCUCUUUGGAGGGGUUAUUAGGUUGGGAGAAAUGUUGAUACUUUUGUUUUGUGUGUGUGUGUGUGUGUGUGUGUGUGUGUGUGUGUGUGUGUGUUUUAACAUCUGUGAACCAGGCUAUUAGUCCUGCUAAAGCGCCAAUCCUGCUGUCAGAGCUCACCCCCUUCCUAAGACAGGAAUGUUCACAUCCAAAGGGUUGGACCCACGGAUCAUUCUGAAUCUUCCUGCCCCUCCUCACUGCUUAACCCUGAGAACCACAAAUAUAAUGGAAGCAGUUCCCCCCACCCUCACCCCAUCUCUUUAAGCUCAUCCUAGCAAGACCUCUAGAGACCCUAGAGACUCGACUUUAGUCCUUCCCCGCCAUGGCACAGUGGGGAAGGUGUCAAUGGGGAGUGUCACGGACAGGAGGUAGGAUCCUGCCGCUCGCGUCUUAGUGUUUCUCCCUCAAGACUUUCCUUCUGUUUUGUUGUCUUGUGCAGUAUUUUACAGCCCCUCUUGUGUUUUUCUUUAUUUCUCGUACACACACGCAGUUUUAAGGGUGAUGUGUGUAUAAUUAAAAGGACCCUUGGCCCAUACUUUCCUAAUUCUUUAGGGACUGGGAUUGGGUUUGACUGAAAUAUGUUUUGGUGGGGAUGGGACGGUGGACUUCCAUUCUCCCUAAACUGGAGUUUUGGUCGGUAAUCAAAACUAAAAGAAACCUCUGGGAGACUGGAAACCUGAUUGGAGCACUGAGGAACAAGGGAAUGAAAAGGCAGACUCUCUGAACGUUUGAUGAAAUGGACUCUUGUGAAAAUUAACAGUGAAUAUUCACUGUUGCACUGUACGAAGUCUCUGAAAUGUAAUUAAAAGUUUUUAUUGAGCCCC